rnacentral:rRNA from 1 species
GUGAGGAAUUUUCCGCAAUGGGCGAAAGCCUGACGGAGCAAUGCCGCGUGAAGGAUGAAGGCCUAUGGGUUGUAAACUUCUUUUCUCAGAAAAGAAUUAUGACGGUAUCUGAGGAAUAAGCAUCGGCUAACUCUGUGCCAGCAGCCGCGGUAAGACAGAGGAUGCAAGCGUUAUCCGGAAUGAUUGUGCGUAAAGCGUCUGUAGGUUGUUUAAAAAGUAUUCUGUCAAAGAUUAGGGCUUAACCCUAGAUAGGCAGAAUAAACUUUUAAGCUAGAGUUUGGUAGAGGCAGAGGGAAUUCCCGGUGGAGCGGUGAAAUGCGUAGAUAUCGAGAGGAACACCAAAGGCGAAGGCACUCUGCUGGGCCAAUACUAACACUGAGAGACGAAAGCGAGGGGAGCAAAUGGGAUUAGAAACCCCGGUAGUCC